UACGGAGGGUGCAAGCGUUGCUCGGAAUCAUUGGGCGUAAAGCGCACGUAGGCGGCCUGUUAAGUCGGGUGUGAAAGCCCUGGGCUCAACCCAGGAAGUGCACUCGAAACUGGCGGGCUUGAAUAUGGAAGAGGGUCGCGGAAUUCCCGGUGUAGAGGUGAAAUUCGUAGAUAUCGGGAGGAACACCAGUGGCGAAGGCGGCGACCUGGGCCAAUAUUGACGCUGAUGUGCGAAAGCGUGGGGAGCAAACAGG
rnacentral:rRNA from 1 species